rnacentral:rRNA from 1 species
UACGAAGGGGCGAGCGUUGUUCGGAUUUACUGGGCGUAAAGGGCGCGCAGGCGGCUCAUUUUGUCAGGCGUGAAAGCCCCGGGCUUAACCUGGGACUGCGUUUGAUACGGAUGGCUAGAGUUCGGGAGAGGAGAGUGGAAUUCCCAGUGUAGAGGUGAAAUUCGUAGAUAUUCGCAAGAACACCAGUGGCGAAGGCGGCUCACUGGCCCGGUACGUGACGCUGAGGUGCGAAAGCGUGGGGAGCAAACAGGGAUUAAGAU